rnacentral:lncRNA from 1 species
UGGUAUUGAAGAAGAUCCUUCCCAUACAAAAAGAACUUCAUCCCAAGCUAGGAAGGACCUUAUGUGGAAGGCCUUAUUUGGAAAAGCGUCGAUUUUGAUCAAAAAGGAUAACAAGGACAUGUCUAAUCCUAUGAGUUCAGAUUCAAUCAAAAAUAUUUCAAAAUAUAAAAAAAACAAAAAAAAGAGAAAAGAAGAAAGAAAAUGGAGAGGCC